rnacentral:lncRNA from 1 species
UUAUCUCCUUAAGAAAAUAAAUACAAACAGAAGAAGUUAGAGGGAAGUCAAUCUAGACUUAAGCAGAGAGGUAUGAUCGGGAUAAUUCUGAUAUAAAUAGGGAAAACAUACACAAAGCUCAAGUAGAGUAUAUAUACUGGCUUAAGAAGAAAGAUUUUAUUCUGAAAUAAAAGGCUAGGAUAAAAUAGGCAGAGGAAGGAAAUACAAAUUCAAAAUAUUUUCAUAGUG